UACGUAGGGGGCAAGCGUUAUCCGGAUUUACUGGGUGUAAAGGGAGCGCAGGCGGCGCGUUAAGUCUGAUGUGAAAACCCGCGGCUCAACUGCGGGACUGCAUUGGAAACUGGCGGGCUUGAGUGCCGGAGAGGCAAGUGGAAUUCCUGGUGUAGCGGUGAAAUGCGUAGAUAUCAGGAGGAACACCAGUGGCGAAGGCGGCUUGCUGGACGAUGACUGACGUUGAGGCUCGAAAGCGUGGGGAGCAAACAGG
rnacentral:rRNA from 1 species